rnacentral:rRNA from 1 species
UAUUUUUUUAAAAAAUUUUUAGCAGGAAAAGAAACUAACAAGGAUUCCCCUAGUAGCGGCGAGCGAAGCGGGAAGAGCUCAAAUUUAUAAUCUGGCACCUUCGGUGUCCGAGUUGUAAUCUCUAGAAGUGUUUUACGCGUUGGACCGCACACAAGUCUGUUGGAAUACAGCGGCAUAGUGGUGAAACCCCCGUAUAUGGUGCGGACGCCCAGCGCUUUGUGAUACUCUUUCAAUGAGUCGAGUUGUUUGGGAAUGCAGCUCAAAUUGGGUGGUAAAUUCCAUCUAAAGCUAAAUAUUGGCGAGAGACCGAUAGCGAACAAGUACCGUGAGGGAAAGAUGAAAAGCACUUUGGAAAGAGAGUUAACAGUACGUGAAAUUGUUGGAAGGGAAACGCUUGAAGUCAGACUUGCUUGCCGGAGCUUGCUUCGGUUUGCAGGCCAGCAUCAGUUUUCCGGGGUGGAUAAUAACGGUUUGAAGGUAGCAGUCUCGGCUGUGUUAUAGCUUUCCGUGGGAUACAUCCUGGGGGACUGAGGAACGCAGCGUGCUUUUUGCGAAAGACUCGUCUGUUCACGCUUUGUUGUAUAUGCAUAUGAGUUUUG